rnacentral:SRP_RNA from 1 species
AGCGCUUCGCCCUCGAAGAGUUGGUGCCCCGGGGGCUCUGGCUGAAGGUGGCCGGUGGCGAGAAGGCUGCGGCGCUUGCACACUGGGCGAGGCAGGCGCCAGAGCAAGG